GGAAGGGCGACCGACCGUGGGAAGGAAGCGUGGAGCGAACCUGCGAGCCGAUGGACAAGAACCGGAUAAAAG
rfam:Burkholderiales bacterium RIFCSPLOWO2_02_FTLL_57_36 rifcsplowo2_02_scaffold_1295, whole genome shotgun sequence.